rnacentral:rRNA from 1 species
ACCACAAGAGGUGGAGGCUGCGGUUCAAUUGGACUCAACGCCGGAAAACUCACCGGGAGCGACAGCAGUAUGAUUGCCAGGUUGAUGACCCUGCUUGACUAGCUGAGAGGAGGUGCAUGGCCGUCGUCAGUUCGUACUGUGAAGCAUCCUGUUAAGUCAGGCAACGAGCGAGACCCACGCCAACAGUUGCCAGCAUGUCCUCCGGGAUGAUGGGGACACUGUUGGGACCGCCUCUGCUAAAGAGGAGGAAGGAAUGGGCAACGGUAGGUCAGCAUGCCCCGAAUUAUCCGGGCUACACGCGGGCUACAAUGGUCAGGACAAUGGGUAUCGACACCGAGAGGUGGAGGCAAUCUCCUAAACCUGUCCUUAGUUCGGAUUGUGGGCUGCAACUCGCCCACAUGAAGCUGGAAUCCGUAGUAAUCGCGUUUCAAAAUAGCGCGGUGAAUAUGUCCCUGCUCCUU